rnacentral:rRNA from 1 species
GUCUAUGGCCAUACCACCCUGAACAAGCCCAAUCCUGUCUGACCUCGAAAGCUAAGCAGAGUUGGGCCUGGUUAGUACUUGGAUGAGAGACCACCUAAGAAGACCAGGUGCUAUAGGUG